AUUGAACGCUGGCGGCGUGCCUAACACAUGCAAGUCGAGCGGUAACAGGUGUAGCAAUACAUGCUGACGAGCGGCGGACGGGUGAGUAACGCUUGGGAAUCUGCCUAUUAGUGGGGGACAACCCGGGGAAACUCGGGCUAAUACCGCAUACGCUCUACGGAGGAAAGCCGGGGACCGCAAGGCCUGGCGCUAAUAGAUGAGCCCAAGUCGGAUUAGCUAGUUGGUAGGGUAAUGGCCUACCAAGGCGACGAUCCGUAACUGGUUUCUGAGAGGACGACCAGUCACACCGGAACUGAGACACGGUCCGGACUCCUACGGGAGGCAGCAGUGGGGAAUAUUGGACAAUGGGCGAAAGCCUGAUCCAGCGACGCCGCGUGGGUGAAGAAGGCCUGCGGGUUGUAAAGCCCUUUCAGUGGGGAAGAAAAGCCUCGACCUAACACGUCGGGGUCUUGACGUAACCCAUAGAAGAAGCACCGGCUAACUCUGUGCCAGCCGCCGCUGUAAC
rnacentral:rRNA from 1 species